GCCCAUCUACACGAUACGACUAGUCAUAUACGAUUCUUAUCCUGGCGUUUGUACUCGAAUAAAUGUGUGUAAAAAUGUCAAAUUUCAAACUUCCCCAUAAACUGAUGAACAGGAAUAGUGGCAUCAGCAAUUGUUUUCAUACAUCAGGGUAAGAAUCGUAUACGACUAGUCGUAUUGUGUAGAUGGACCUUAAGACACCUGUUCAGGAGGUAGGAAAAGUGCAAUUUGAAUAGUUACGAAAACACCUUGCACAAAGUCGAAGGUCAGCUAAAUGCCUAAAUACUCUAAUUGUAUUGACUUCCAUAAAUUCCUUACUCUUCAAGAAAUU